GAUGAACGCUGGCGGCGUGCCUAAUACAUGCAAGUCGAGCGAACAGACGAGGCGCUUGCUCCUCUGACGUUAGCGGCGGACGGGUGAGUAACACGUGGAUAACCUACCUAUAAGACUGGGAUAACUUCGGGAAACCGGAGCUAAUACCGGAUAAUAUAUUGAACCGCAUGGUUCAAUAGUGAAAGACGGUUUUGCUGUCACUUAUAGAUGGAUCCGCGCCGCAUUAGCUAGUUGGUAAGGUAACGGCUUACCAAGGCAACGAUGCGUAGCCGACCUGAGAGGGGGAUCGGCCACACUGGAACUGAGACACGGUCCAGACUCCUACGGGAGGCAGCAGUAGGGAAUCGUCCGCAAUGGGCGAAAGCCUGACGGAGCAACGCCGCGUGAGUGAUGAAGGUCUUCGGAUCGUAAAACUCUGUUAUUAGGGAAGAACAAAUGUGUAAGUAACUAUGCACGUCUUGACGGUACCUAAUCAGAAAGCCACGGCUAACUACGUG
rnacentral:rRNA from 1 species